rnacentral:rRNA from 1 species
UAACGCGUGAGAAUCUGGCUUCAGGUUCGGGACAACCACUGGAAACGGUGGCUAAUACCGGAUAUGCAGAAAUGUGAAAGUUUAAAUGCCUGAAGAUGAGCUCGCGUCUGAUUAGCUAGUAGGCAGUGUAAUGGACUACCUAGGCGACGAUCAGUAGCUGGUCUGAGAGGAUGAUCAGCCACACUGGGACUGAGACACGGCCCAGACUCCUACGGGAGGCAGCAGUGGGGAAUUUUCCGCAAUGGGCGAAAGCCUGACGGAGCAAUACCGCGUGAGGGAGGAAGGCUCUUGGGUUGUAAACCUCUUUUCUCAAGGAAGAACACAAUGACGGUACUUGAGGAAUAAGCAUCGGCUAACUCCGUGCCAGCAGCCGCGGUAAUACGGAGGAUGCAAGCGUUAUCCGGAAUGAUUGGGCGUAAAGCGUCCGCAGGUGGCUUUGUAAGUCUGCUGUUAAAGAGUGAGGCUCAACCUCAUAAAAGCAGUGGAAACUACAUAGCUUGAGUACGUUCGGGGCAGAGGGAAUUCCUGGUGUAGCGGUGAAAUGCGUAGAGAUCAGGAAGAACACCGGUGGCGAAAGCGCUCUGCUAGGCCGUAACUGACACUGAGGGACGAAAGCUAGGGGAGCGAAUGGG